GAUGAACGCUAGCUACAGGCUUAACACAUGCAAGUCGAGGGGAAACGACAUCGAAAGCUUGCUUUUGAUGGGCGUCGACCGGCGCACGGGUGAGUAACGCGUAUCCAACCUGCCCACCACUUGGGGAUAACCCUGCGAAAGUAAGACUAAUACCCAAUGAUAUCCCACGAAGGCAUCCGAAUGGGAUUAAAGAUUUAUCGGUGAUGGAUGGGGAUGCGUCUGAUUAGCUUGUUGGCGGGGUAACGGCCCACCAAGGCAACGAUCAGUAGGGGUUCUGAGAGGAAGGUCCCCCACAUUGGAACUGAGACACGGUCCAAACUCCUACGGGAGGCAGCAGUGAGGAAUAUUGGUCAAUGGACGGAAGUCUGAACCAGCCAAGUAGCGUGCAGGACGACGGCCCUAUGGGUUGUAAACUGCUUUUAUGUGGGAAUAAAGUGAGGGACGUGUCCCUUUUUGUAGGUACCACAUGAAUAAGGACCGGCUAAUUCCGUG
rnacentral:rRNA from 1 species